CGGAGCUCAAACUCAUGACCUUGUGCUUGGGAGGCAGGCGCAGUGCCACUGAGCUAAAUCCCCGGCCCUAAAAAAAAAUUGUUUUAAGUAAGAACUUUUUAACACAGAAAAAUAAUUCAUAAGUAUACAGCUUGAUGAUCAGCUUGGUGAUUUACCUCAAAUUAAUAUCCCAUACUCACCACAUGAGUCAAGAACAGAACCUUCCCCACACCCCAGAAACUACAGUCCUGCUCCCUUCCAAAUAUAUUACCCCUCUUCCUCAGAGGGUGCUGACUGCUCACCAUUGUGACAAAAGUCCUACACUCACAGACGCCCCAUCCAAAGACUGAAGGCCUGGCCAGGGAUUUAGCUCAGUGGUUCCACUGUCUGCCUUGCAAGCACAAGGACCCGAGUUCGAUCCCCGGUACCAAAGACUGAGGACCUGAGCACUGUAUCAGAGGACCCGCCAGCCCGAGCCCCGAUGCAGUAUGGUCCCUCUGUGUAUUCCAGGCUGGACUUAAACUCACUAUGUAGCCCAGGCUGUCCUCGUACUCAUGGUGAUCCUCCUGCCUCAGCCUCCCAAGUGCUGAGAUUACAAGUCUGCACCACCACACCUACCUGUUUCUAAAAUAGGGAUAACAGGGAGGCUGAGACUGAAGUUAUGUAGUGAGUUUGAGGCCAGCUUAGGGUACAUAGAAAGACCCUAUGUUAAAAAAAUCAAAGCCAAACCAAACAAAGCCAAAUAAACAAACAACAAAAACAGAAACAAAACUAAUCCUGUUUGGGAGGCUGAAGCUGGUUUGAGAUUGAUCGCAGGUAUGAAGCCAUCUAAAACAAUUUAGCAAGAUCCUGUAUCCAAAAAAAAAAAAAAAUACACAGCAUACCUCAUCCUUCAGGGCUGUUACCCUUUGUUUUGCUUUUGGUGCUGCCAGAGUUUUAGGGCAAAAGCCUUUGCUCCAGGAGUCCCAGCAGCAAGGUUCAGCCACCUGUCCCAGGAUGAGAGGUGCUAAAGGGUAGGCAAGGAGCUUUAAUCACCAGGGCCAAGCUGGGAAUCACGGACAAAGAGCUUCAAGCCCUGGGGUUUUAUAGAAAAGGGAAGCA
rnacentral:lncRNA from 1 species